rnacentral:rRNA from 1 species
CCUACGGGCGGCAGCAGUGGGGAAUAUUGGACAAUGGGGGGAACCCUGAUCCAGCCAUGCCGCGUGUGUGAAGAAGGCCCUCGGGUUGUAAAGCACUUUCAGUGAGGAAGAACGCCUGGUGGUUAAUACCCAUCAGGAAAGACAUCACUCACAGAAGAAGCACCGGCUAACUCCGUGCCAGCAGCCGCGGUAAUACGGAGGGUGCGAGCGUUAAUCGGAAUUACUGGGCGUAAAGCGCGCGUAGGUGGCUUGAUAAGCCGGUUGUGAAAGCCCCGGGCUCAACCUAGGAACGGCAUCCGGAACUGUCAAGCUAGAGUGCAGGAGAGGAAGGUAGAAUUCCCGGUGUAGCGGUGAAAUGCGUAGAGAUCGGGAGGAAUACCAGUGGCGAAGGCGGCCUUCUGGACUGACACUGACACUGAGGUGCGAAAGCGUGGGUAGCAAACAGGAUUAGAUACCCUUGUAGUC